UACGGGGGGGGUAAGCGUUGUUCGGAAUUACUGGGCGUAAAGGGCUCGUAGGCGGCCACCUAAGUCAGACGUGAAAUCCCUCGGCUUAACCGGGGAACUGCGUCUGAAACUGCCUGGCUUGAGUUCGGGAGAGGGAAGCGGAAUUCCGGGUGUAGCGGUGAAAUGCGUAGAUAUCAGGAGGAACACCGGUGGCGAAGGCGGCUAUCUGGACAGAAACUGACGCUGAGGCGCGAAAGCUAGGGGAGCAAACAGG
rnacentral:rRNA from 1 species